GGGUUGUGAGGUUAAGCGACUAAGCGUACACGGUGGAUGCCCUGGCAGUCAGAGGCGAUGAAGGACGUGCUAAUCUGCGAUAAGCGUCGGUGAGGUGAUAUGAACCGUUAUAACCGGCGAUUUCCGAAUGGGGAAACCCAGUGUGUUUCGACACACUAUCAUUAACUGAAUCCAUAGGUUAAUGAGGCGAACCGGGGGAACUGAAACAUCUAAGUACCCCGAGGAAAAGAAAUCAACCGAGAUUCCCCCAGUAGCGGCGAGCGAACGGGGAGGAGCCCAGAGCCUGAAUCAGUGUGUGUGUUAGUGGAAGCGUCUGGAAAGGCGUGCGAUACAGGGUGACAGCCCCGUACACAAAAAUGCACAUACUGUGAGCUCGAUGAGUAGGGCGGGACACGUGGUAUCCUGUCUGAAUAUGGGGGGACCAUCCUCCAAGGCUAAAUACUCCUGACUGACCGAUAGUGAACCAGUACCGUGAGGGAAAGGCGAAAAGAACCCCGGCGAGGGGAGUGAAAAAGAACCUGAAACCGUGUACGUACAAGCAGUGGGAGCCUCUUAAUGGGGUGACUGCGUACCUUUUGUAUAAUGGGUCAGCGACUUAUAUUCUGUAGCAAGGUUAACCGAAUAGGGGAGCCGAAGGGAAACCGAGUCUUAACUGGGCGUUAAGUUGCAGGGUAUAGACCCGAAACCCGGUGAUCUAGCCAUGGGCAGGUUGAAGGUUGGGUAACACUAACUGGAGGACCGAACCGACUAAUGUUGAAAAAUUAGCGGAUGACUUGUGGCUGGGGGUGAAAGGCCAAUCAAACCGGGAGAUAGCUGGUUCUCCCCGAAAGCUAUUUAGGUAGCGCCUCGUGAAUUCAUCUCCGGGGGUAGAGCACUGUUUCGGCAAGGGGGUCAUCCCGACUUACCAACCCGAUGCAAACUGCGAAUACCGGAGAAUGUUAUCACGGGAGACACACGGCGGGUGCUAACGUCCGUCGUGAAGAGGGAAACAACCCAGACCGCCAGCUAAGGUCCCAAAGUCAUGGUUAAGUGGGAAACGAUGUGGGAAGGCCCAGACAGCCAGGAUGUUGGCUUAGAAGCAGCCAUCAUUUAAAGAAAGCGUAAUAGCUCACUGGUCGAGUCGGCCUGCGCGGAAGAUGUAACGGGGCUAAACCAUGCACCGAAGCUGCGGCAGCGACACUAUGUGUUGUUGGGUAGGGGAGCGUUCUGUAAGCCUGUGAAGGUGUACUGUGAGGUAUGCUGGAGGUAUCAGAAGUGCGAAUGCUGACAUAAGUAACGAUAAAGCGGGUGAAAAGCCCGCUCGCCGGAAGACCAAGGGUUCCUGUCCAACGUUAAUCGGGGCAGGGUGAGUCGACCCCUAAGGCGAGGCCGAAAGGCGUAGUCGAUGGGAAACAGGUUAAUAUUCCUGUACUUGGUGUUACUGCGAAGGGGGGACGGAGAAGGCUAUGUUGGCCGGGCGACGGUUGUCCCGGUUUAAGCGUGUAGGCUGGUUUUCCAGGCAAAUCCGGAAAACCAAGGCUGAGGCGUGAUGACGAGGCACUACGGUGCUGAAGCGACAAAUGCCCUGCUUCCAGGAAAAGCCUCUAAGCAUCAGGUAACAUUAAAUCGUACCCCAAACCGACACAGGUGGUCAGGUAGAGAAUACCAAGGCGCUUGAGAGAACUCGGGUGAAGGAACUAGGCAAAAUGGUGCCGUAACUUCGGGAGAAGGCACGCUGAUAUGUAGGUGAAGCGACUUGCUCGUGGAGCUGAAAUCAGUCGAAGAUACCAGCUGGCUGCAACUGUUUAUUAAAAACACAGCACUGUGCAAACACGAAAGUGGACGUAUACGGUGUGACGCCUGCCCGGUGCCGGAAGGUUAAUUGAUGGGGUUAGCGGUAACGCGAAGCUCUUGAUCGAAGCCCCGGUAAACGGCGGCCGUAACUAUAACGGUCCUAAGGUAGCGAAAUUCCUUGUCGGGUAAGUUCCGACCUGCACGAAUGGCGUAAUGAUGGCCAGGCUGUCUCCACCCGAGACUCAGUGAAAUUGAACUCGCUGUGAAGAUGCAGUGUACCCGCGGCAAGACGGAAAGACCCCGUGAACCUUUACUAUAGCUUGACACUGAACAUUGAGCCUUGAUGUGUAGGAUAGGUGGGAGGCUUUGAAGUGUGGACGCCAGUCUGCAUGGAGCCGACCUUGAAAUACCACCCUUUAAUGUUUGAUGUUCUAACGUGGGCCCCUUACCGGGGUUGCGGACAGUGUCUGGUGGGUAGUUUGACUGGGGCGGUCUCCUCCUAAAGAGUAACGGAGGAGCACGAAGGUUGGCUAAUCCUGGUCGGACAUCAGGAGGUUAGUGCAAUGGCAUAAGCCAGCUUGACUGCGAGCGUGACGGCGCGAGCAGGUGCGAAAGCAGGUCAUAGUGAUCCGGUGGUUCUGAAUGGAAGGGCCAUCGCUCAACGGAUAAAAGGUACUCCGGGGAUAACAGGCUGAUACCGCCCAAGAGUUCAUAUCGACGGCGGUGUUUGGCACCUCGAUGUCGGCUCAUCACAUCCUGGGGCUGAAGUAGGUCCCAAGGGUAUGGCUGUUCGCCAUUUAAAGUGGUACGCGAGCUGGGUUUAGAACGUCGUGAGACAGUUCGGUCCCUAUCUGCCGUGGGCGCUGGAGAACUGAGGGGGGCUGCUCCUAGUACGAGAGGACCGGAGUGGACGCAUCACUGGUGUUCGGGUUGUCAUGCCAAUGGCACUGCCCGGUAGCUAAAUGCGGAAGAGAUAAGUGCUGAAAGCAUCUAAGCACGAAACUUGCCCCGAGAUGAGUUCUCCCUGACUCCUUGAGAGUCCUGAAGGAACGUUGAAGACGACGACGUUGAUAGGCCGGGUGUGUAAGCGCAGCGAUGCGUUGAGCUAACCGGUACUAAUGAACCGUGAGGCUUAACCUUACAACGCCGAAG
rnacentral:rRNA from 1 species